AGAGUUUGAUCCUGGCUCAGGAUGAACGCUAGCUACAGGCUUAACACAUGCAAGUCGAGGGGCAUCAGGGUGUAGCAAUACACCGCUGGCGACCGGCGCACGGGUGAGUAACACGUAUCCAACCUGCCCUUUACUCGGGGAUAGCCUUUCGAAAGAAAGAUUAAUACCCGAUGGCAUAACAUGACCUCCUGGUUUUGUUAUUAAAGAAUUUCGGUAAAGGAUGGGGAUGCGUUCCAUUAGGCAGUUGGCGGGGUAACGGCCCACCAAACCUUCGAUGGAUAGGGGUUCUGAGAGGAAGGUCCCCCACAUUGGAACUGAGACACGGUCCAA
rnacentral:rRNA from 1 species